CCUAAUCGGCUAACCCCUUAUGGCCUUCUUUCUUUCACCCUACAGAUUUGAGAGUCAAUACUUCUACUUUCUCAGUUCUCACUCCCCAUCUGGCUAUCCCCACCGACCAUCAGCAUUGCACCUUCAAAGUUCAACCCCUUUUGCGUCUUGCCUAGUUCUCACUUCUCACCUUCAGCCGGUCACCACUCCUCAUUGGCCAUUGCACCUUUAAAGUCUCCAACACUAGCUACCUCUGCUCUGAGUCUCCAACCCACCUCCUUUAAUUUGUUGGAAACUUUACGACUUUCAACUUUCCUCUAUGCAGCUUCAAAUUCUUCUUCAGUAGGUUCAGAAUCUGCAUUACCCCAAAUUUGGAGAUCAGUGAUGAAAACAUGGAAUGAAACCGGUCUUUCCUCUCACUUUGACGCUCAAAUAUAAUUGCAAAUAGAUCUACCUCUGGUUGUUUAUUUGAUUUCCUCUUCCUCCUCACCUCUGUCAGCAACAUAUCUCCUCAAAUUUGCUUCUCUCAUGGGGGCUAGGUUGGCAUCUUUCCUCCGGCUAUCCAAGUAAGCCUCCGAUCUGCUUUUCUUUCCUUUUCUCGAUUGUUUCAUUUUAUUGCUGUUUUAUCUUUGUUUUGUUAUGUGUUAGUGAAAAAUGCAGUCUAAAAGUAUCACCUUUUGUAUUUUGAGAUUUUGAAUUGAUGUCUCAUAGCAUAUUUAAUUGUUUAACUUGGCACUGGCAAGAUGAAUAACUAAAAAGCAGAAAGGAAAACUGGGUUUGAUGUUACAUGACCUGUCAACAGGAAUUGAUGUUAUUAUGGAGAGAGGUACUGGUGGCUUGUCGGUCAUUCUAUAGCAUCAGAAGAAAUUAUUUUGUCCUUCUCUUUGAGGGAUGAGAUGUAUUGUAGCUAGGAUAAACUUAUAGAUUAGAAGCUACCAGAUGUUGGAAUGAACUUGUACUUCAUAAGAAACCAAAAUGAAAUUGUGGAUUCAAUUAAUUGUAUUGCCUUAAAAGGCAAAAACUUAUUGAAUUAUAUAAGGUAAAAUUGCUAUGGACUGAGAAUGCUUAACCCUUUCUUUUAUCCAUCUUUUGAAAUUUUCUUCCUUGUUAUCAAACUUUUUUAAAAAUUAAAUGUGCUAAUUAGAGCAAAAACCUAACGUUGCAAAUUUGCAAUGGUUUGAACAAGAUCAUAAGGUAAUGUAAUACUAGUAAACUGAAGCAUUUAUCUUCCUAAUACCUAUCAUUUGGGAAUGUAGCUCUUAGUAGAUUAAUUUUUUAAGUCAGUUAUCAGUCUCCACAAGAUCCAUAUGAAAAUUAAUUUUUUAAAAAUUAAUGAAUAGACCGAUGAAUAUAUGAAAAAUGUAGAAACAUUUAUAUAAGUAUCAUAUGAAGUUCCUGGCUUCCUGUUGCUUAAAAUUAAUUUUGGACGUUCUCCUUUUUUUUUUUUUGAAAGAUAAAAUUUUGUUCUCCUUUUCUUUUAGGAAUCUAUUUUAAAUCAUAUACUACAUAUAUAAAAAUGUAUUCGCAAUAGAUAUAAUCAAUAAAUAUUGCUGUUUGUUGGUGUAAAUUUUUAGCAUUUUUUAUUCAUGUUUAUGUUAUUUAAAGGUGAUGGUGACGGAUCAAUCAAUUGAAAAAUGUAAAUUUGGAUGAUGAUGUGAACAUUUUGAAUGAAGAUGAAAUUCCCUCCUAAUCCCAUAUAUCUGAAUCUGAACAAUUAAGUAAGAGGGCCAAAAAAAAAACUUCAAAUGUUUGGAAUUAUUUCACUAAAAUAGGCAAAAAGCAAGAUGGAGUAGAAAGAGCAACUUGUAACAGUUGUAAAAUAGAGUACAAGGUUGGCCUUAAACCUAAUGGCUCUAAUUAUGGCACUUCACAUUUGCGUCGUCACAUUGAAACUUGUAAAUUCAUUUCAUAUUUUAAUCCACAUCAAAUGCUUAUGGAUUAUGAAGGGAAAGUAAAGGCUAGAAAAUUGGAUCCUAGGAUUUCAAGUGACAUGCUUGCUUAAGCCAUAAUUAAGCAUGACUUGACUUAUGCUUUUGUUGAAUAUGAUAAGAUUAGAGCUUGGGCUAUGUAAAUCCAGAUGUAAUGAUGCAUUCUAGAAACAUUGUUAUAUUUGAUGUCUAAAGAAUUCAUUUGAGAGAGAAAGAGAAACUUAAACAAGCCAUGGCCAAGGUACCUAAUAGAAUUUGUUUAAUUUUUUAUGUAUGGACAGCAUCUACUUUUGAGGGCUAUAUUUGUUUGACUGCUCACUUUGUUAAUGAAAAUUGAAAGUUAUGUAGCAAGUUACUCAACUUUUGUCGUAUGCCUCCUCCACACACUAGAGUUGAAUUAGUUGCCGCUAUAUUUGAUUGUUUGAAAGAAUGAGGAAUAGAUAAAAAAGUUUUCUCUCUUACUUUAGAUAAUGCUUCUACUAAUGAUAACAUGCAAGCUAUCUUGAAAAGCUAUCUUCAUUUGCAAAGUAGCUUGAUUUGUGAUGGUGAAUUUUUCAUGUGCGUUGUUGUGCUCAUAUAUUAAAUCUUAUUGUUCAAAAGGGCUUGAAAAUAAAUAAAGCAUUGUUUAAAAUUAAGGAGAGUGUGAAAUAUGUAAAGGCAUCGGAUGGGAGGAUGAAAAAGUUUCAAAAAUGUGUUCAACAUGUUGGUAUUGAUGCAGGUGUUGGGUUGCGUUUAGAUGUGUCAACUAGAUGGAAUUCAACAUAUUUGAUGCUUGAAAGUGCAAUCAAUUAUAAAAAAAUUUUUGUUAGCCUCUAAUUUGUUGAUAAAACUUAUAAAUAUAAUCCAUUCGAUGAGAAAUGGGAGAGAGCAAUGAUAAUUUGUGAAUUCUUGGAGUCUUUUUAUGAGACCAUAAACUUGAUAUCUGGUUCAUCUUAUCCAACUUCCAACUUGUAUUUCAUGCAAGUUUAGAAAAUUGAAUCGAUUUUAAAUGAAAAUUUGCAUAAUGAAGAUGAGGUUAUCAAGGAUAUGUCUCGAAGGAUGAAAAUGAAAUUUGACACGUAUUGGAAAGAUUAUAGUGUAGUACUUGCAUUUGGAGCUAUUCUUGACCUGAGGAUGAAAUUUGAUUUUUUAAAAUUUUGUUAUUCUAAAAUUGAUGCUUCUACUUGUCAUGGAAAGUGAGAAAAUGUGAAGACAAAGUUGUAUGAGCUCUUUGAAGAAUAUGCAAGCAACACUCAUGCAAUAAGUACAUCUUCUCACUCAAUGAGUAAUUUACCUAAGCAAACCGAAAAGGGAACUAAACCUAAGGGAUCAAAGAUCUUUAGUGUAAGUUUUGUAUCUUUCCUUUAUCUUAUUACAUGAGAAUUUAUGUUACUUUAUUUAUGUUUUGAUAAUUUUUUUUUUUGUCUAUGUAUUUAAAAAUUGUAGGAGUUUAAAAUGUUUCAAAAUGAAAUAAUUUCUAAUGCUAGAAAGUCUGAAUUGGAUAUUUAUUUAGAUGAGGCAAAGCUUGAUUAUGAAGUGUUUGAAGACUUGGAUGUGCUUAAUUAUUGGAAGGACAAUGUUAAGCGCUUUCCUGAUCUUUCUAUUAUGGCACGAGAUAUAUUGAGCAUUCUAAUUACUACGGUAGCAUUAAAAUUUGUUUUUAGUAUUGGUGGUCAUGUUUUCACCAAGUUUAGAAGUUCCCUCUGUCAUGAAAAUGUUCAAAUACUUAUCUGCACAAAAAAUUGGUUGCAUGGCUUUUCUUUAGUUGCCGAUGGUAUUGUUUAUUUUAUAUAUUUCAAUAUCUUUAAUCUUUACUUGUUAAAUUAAUAAUUUUAGUUAAAAUUGAAACUUACUAUAUCUUUUUCUUUUAUGGCAAUGAAUAUUAGAUGAUAAUGAUUCAGACCUGGAGACAUCAUUGCUGUACAAACAAGAUUCAAAUGUUUUGAUUGAGGAUGAAGAUUGAGAAGGAUAUAAAUUAGUCUUAAAGUUUAUAAAUAUUUGAUUAUGUACUUAUAUUGAUGGGAUUGUAGUUUGUGUUAAAGAUUGAAAUUUUAUUUAUGUUUAAUGUAAUUUAUUUGCUUAUUUA
rnacentral:lncRNA from 1 species